UGAGCAAGUGGGAUAAGAAGAGAGACCUGUGUAGAACAUAGGAAGCACGUAUUGUUUGCUAUCAAGUGCCAAGACUUCCAAAUGAAGAUUCAGGCUUGAAUUAUGUCUACUUGAAAUAUUUGAAGAUAUUUUCCUACCUGCCUGAGAGUUCCCCUCAGUCCUGGGUGUUCUCUUCUGUGCCCUCACAGGCUUUCAGACAUGCUGGGAGUAGUAACCUUCUAAAUGACUGUGCAAAAACUUGAAAGGAAGUUGUAAGCAAGAGACGCAUAAAACUUCAGGAGUAAGUGAAACUCUGAAUGCUGUCAAUAAAACUAAAUAACCUGGUGAAGAACUUUAAAUGCUACAAAACACUGACACGAUGAAGAACAUCUGAUUAUAAGUCAGCUGUGGUGAUUAGCAUCGACGUUGGAGCAUCUUGCUUAGCCCAAUUCAGAGAUGAGCCAUCACAAUGGAAAACUGCAUGCAUUCUUGCAUCAGUAUGGAUCAUGAAGUUUCAUGGUGGUGCUUUUCUUUCUCCUGGAUUGUAUGGAUAAAUUUUCCAGCAACCAAGCAACACACAGAGUAACAUCUCAUCCUGCACUUCCAUUUUGGCUUAAUACACGUAUGUGAAGUGUUUGCAUUGGUGUUUCUGUUUGUAGCUUGAAACGCAAAAACUUAAAUAUAUAUAAACAGUAAAUUAUUUGUUAGUAUUAGUCUUAAAAAUUGCAAUUCCUCUGAAUAGCAAAACUUCUGUCAUUUCAAAUUCAUUUAAUAAAACAUUGAGGCUAAAUGUGGACAAUCUAUGCCACUGCCAUUCUAGAAAUUGAAACUUUGGCCUUUAUUAGCUCUGACCAGAUAUGUGGUCAACAGACAAGAAAUAAUAAUAAAAUGCACUACUCUAAAUUGUCCCCUUGAUUUAUUUAUUUAUUUUUAUUAUGUGUUAUGGUCUCCUGGAAAGAUCUUGUGUACUUUCUUCUGUCUUUGGGAAACUGUAUAGUAGACAAAAUUAUGUCAGGACUGUUUUCAUGAUUGAUGUGUAAAGUGCUAACUUUGAGAACCCAAAAAAAACCAACCUUUUGGGAUCCCAAAAUGAUUUUUCUGUGUACACACAUGAAUGCAUUCUUUCAUACAAGCUAGCAUUUGGAGGAAGUCUGGAAGCUUGUAUUAUUUCUUUUGUUUCUGUAAUAAAGGGCUGUGACAUUUAAAUAUACAGAUUACUUGUUUAGUAACCUAAAAUAGUGAUAGUCUUAAGCCUGGGUUUAAUAGCUAAUCAGGCUUAAUUAAGCCUGGACAUCAAAAGAAAGAUGCUGUAUUCAAAAUAAUAGAUAAACAACCCAUAUGCACAAAGUAGUGGUAAGUUCUGGAGCUACUCAGUGGAUGUUGCUUAGUAAUUUUAGAGGAAACAUUUUGCUCACUUUUUGGAAUAAGUCAGUUAAAGAAAUGUAAUGGUGUUAAGACUAUGACAAAUUUAGGGUUGUCUUUGAGGUAUGUAAAAGCUGCUUGUGAUGCAGCUGGAUAGGUUUAUGAGGAUCUUGGAGAUUAAUUCAAAUAAAAGAAAGAUUGUACAACAUUCUCUUGGCCCUAAGUAAUGGAUUAUGUGUAGAAAAUGUAAUGGUGCUGCAACAACAAAUAGAUCAACUGAGAGAACACCCUUUGCCUGAAGUGUCUUUAAAACUGUGAGUGUGAAGUUGGAUGAUGAAUUGAAUAAUCUACUUCAAAGGACAGAUAUAUAGUAUCUGAAUAUGAAAAAGCAUAAGUGCAUGAGAGCAUGUCACAGCCAUAUGUAGUGCUGGCUGCUCACAGUGAUAAACAGUUUACUAUUGUCUUUGCCACCAACAGACUAUGUCAAUUUAAAGUCUGAUGCUUCUUCUGUCUUAUUUAUUGGAGUCUGUAUACAGUAUAACAUUUUGCAAUGCCAAUUGCUUAAGAAUAACCCCCCAGAA